GAUGAACGCUGGCGGCGUGCCUAAUACAUGCAAGUCGAGCGAACGGACGAGAAGCUUGCUUUUCUGAUGUUAGCGGCGGACGGGUGAGUAACACGUGGAUAACCUACCUAUAAGACUGGGAUAACUUCGGGAAACCGGAGCUAAUACCGGAUAAUAUUUUGAACCGCAUGGUUCAAAAGUGAAAGACGGUCUUGCUGUCACUUAUAGAUGGAUCCGCGCUGCAUUAGCUAGUUGGUAAGGUAACGGCUUACCAAGGCAACGAUGCAUAGCCGACCUGAGAGGGUGAUCGGCCACACUGGAACUGAGACACGGUCCAGACUCCUACGGGAGGCAGCAGUAGGGAAUCUUCCGCAAUGGGCGAAAGCCUGACGGAGCAACGCCGCGUGAGUGAUGAAGGUCUUCGGAUCGUAAAACUCUGUUAUUAGGGAAGAACAUAUGUGUAAGUAACUGUGCACAUCUUGACGGUACCUAAUCAGAAAGCCACGGCUAACUACGUGCCAGCAGCCGCGGUAAUACGUAGGUGGCAAGCGUUAUCCGGAAUUAUUGGGCGUAAAGCGCGCGUAGGCGGUUUUUUAAGUCUGAUGUGAAAGCCCACGGCUCAACCGUGGAGGGUCAUUGGAAACUGGAAAACUUGAGUGCAGAAGAGGAAAGUGGAAUUCCAUGUGUAGCGGUGAAAUGCGCAGAGAUGUGGAGGAACACCAGUGGCGAAGGCGACUUUCUGGUCUGUAACUGACGCUGAUGUGCGAAAGCGUGGGGAUCAAACAGGAUUAGAUACCCUGGUAGUCCACGCCGUAAACGAUGAGUGCUAAGUGUUAGGGGGUUUCCGCCCCUUAGUGCUGCAGCUAACGCAUUAAGCACUCCGCCUGGGGAGUACGACCGCAAGGUUGAAACUCAAAGGAAUUGACGGGGGCCCGCACAAGCGGUGGAGCAUGUGGUUUAAUUCGAAGCAACGCGAAGAACCUUACCAAACCUUGACAUCCUUUGACAACUCUAGAGAUAGAGCCUUCCCCUUCGGGGGACAAAGUGACAGGUGGUGCAUGGUUGUCGUCAGCUCGUGUCGUGAGAUGUUGGGUUAAGUCCCGCAACGAGCGCAACCCUUAAGCUUAGUUGCCAUCAUUAAGUUGGGCACUCUAAGUUGACUGCCGGUGACAAACCGGAGGAAGGUGGGGAUGACGUCAAAUCAUCAUGCCCCUUAUGAUUUGGGCUACACACGUGCUACAAUGGACAAUACAAAGGGCAGCGAAACCGCGAGGUCAAGCAAAUCCCAUAAAGUUGUUCUCAGUUCGGAUUGUAGUCUGCAACUCGACUACAUGAAGCUGGAAUCGCUAGUAAUCGUAGAUCAGCAUGCUACGGUGAAUACGUUCCCGGGUCU
rnacentral:rRNA from 1 species